rnacentral:rRNA from 1 species
GUGACUGCGUACCUUUUGUAUAAUGGGUCAGCGACUUAUAUUCUGUAGCAAGGUUAACCGAAUAGGGGAGCCGGAGGGAAACCGAGUCUUAACCGGGCGUUAAGUUGCAGGGUAUAGACCCGAAACCCGGUGAUCUAGCCAUGGGCAGGUUGAAGGUUGGGUAACACUAACUGGAGGACCGAACCGACUAAUGUUGAAAAAUUAGCGGAUGACCUGUGGCUGGGGGUGAAAGGCCAAUCAAACCGGGAGAUAGCUGGUUCUCCCCGAAAGCUAUUUAGGUAGCGCCUCGUGAAUUCAUCUCCGGGGGUAGAGCACUGUUUCGGCUAGGGGGCCAUCCCGGCUUACCAACCCGAUGCAAACUGCGAAUACCGGAGAAUGUUAUCACGGGAGACACACGGCGGGUGCUAACGUCCGUCGUGAAGAGGGAAACAACCCAGACCGCCAGCUAAGGUCCCAAAGUCAUGGUUAAGUGGGAAACGAUGUGGGAAGGCCCAGACAGCCAGGAUGUUGGCUUAGAAGCAGCCAUCAUUUAAAGAAAGCGUAAUAGCUCACUGGUCGAGUCGGCCUGCGCGGAAGAUGUAACGGGGCUAAACCAUGCACCGAAGCUGCGGCAGCGACGCUUAUGCGUUGUUGGGUAGGGGAGCGUUCUGUAAGCCUGUGAAGGUGGCCUGUGAGGGUUGCUGGAGGUAUCAGAAGUGCGAAUGCUGACAUAAGUAACGAUAAAGCGGGUGAAAAGCNACGUAUCACCCAAGACAACUUUACGGAGUUGACGAUUGACGGAGCGAAGCGACGUCAAAGCGUUCAUUAAAGUCGAGUUGGCUUAGGGAUACGUUCGUUGGGUAGGGGAGCGUUCUGUAAGCCUGCGAAGGUGGCCUGUGAGGGUUGCUGGAGGUAUCAGAAGUGCGAAUGCUGACAUNCGCUUAUGCGUUGUUGGGUAGGGGAGCGUUCUGUAAGCCUGUGAAGGUGGCCUGUGAGGGUUGCUGGAGGUAUCAGAAGUGCGAAUGCUGACAUAAGUAACGAUAAAGCGGGUGAAAAGCCCGCUCGCCGGAAGACCAAGGGUUCCUGUCCAACGUUAAUCGGGGCAGGGUGAGUCGACCCCUAAGGCGAGGCCGAAAGGCGUAGUCGAUGGGAAACGGGUUAAUAUUCCCGUACUUGGUGUUACUGCGAAGGGGGGACGGAGAAGGCUAUGUUGGCCGGGCGACGGUUGUCCCGGUUUAAGCGUGUAGGUGUGUGUUCCAGGUAAAUCCGGUUCACUUUAACACUGAGGCGUGAUGACGAGGCACUACGGUGCUGAAGCAACAAAUGCCCUGCUUCCAGGAAAAGCCUCUAAGCAUCAGGUAACAUCAAAUCGUACCCCAAACCGACACAGGUGGUCAGGUAGAGAAUACCAAGGCGCUUGAGAGAACUCGGGUGAAGGAACUAGGCAAAAUGGUGCCGUAACUUCGGGAGAAGGCACGCUGACAUGUAGGUGAAGCGGUUUACCCGUGGAGCUGAAAUCAGUCGAAGAUACCAGCUGGCUGCAACUGUUUAUUAAAAACACAGCACUGUGCAAACACGAAAGUGGACGUAUACGGUGUGACGCCUGCCCGGUGCCGGAAGGUUAAUUGAUGGGGUCAGCGCAAGCGAAGCUCCUGAUCGAAGCCCCGGUAAACGGCGGCCGUAACUAUAACGGUCCUAAGGUAGCGAAAUUCCUUGUCGGGUAAGUUCCGNGACGCCUGCCCGGUGCCGGAAGGUUAAUUGAUGGGGUCAGCGCAAGCGAAGCUCCUGAUCGAAGCCCCGGUAAACGGCGGCCGUAACUAUAACGGUCCUAAGGUAGCGAAAUUCCUUGUCGGGUAAGUUCCGACCUGCACGAAUGGCGUAAUGAUGGCCAGGCUGUCUCCACCCGAGACUCAGUGAAAUUGAACUCGCUGUGAAGAUGCAGUGUACCCGCGGCAAGACGGAAAGACCCCGUGAACCUUUACUAUAGCUUGACACUGAACAUUGAGCCUUGAUGUGUAGGAUAGGUGGGAGGCUUUGAAGUGUGGACGCCAGUCUGCAUGGAGCCGACCUUGAAAUACCACCCUUUAAUGUUUGAUGUUCUAACGUGGACCCGU